rnacentral:rRNA from 1 species
AAGUGAAAGAAGGGCAUUCGGUGGAUGCCUUGGCGCUGAGAGGCGAUGAAGGACGUGGUACGCUGCGAUAAGUUACGGGGAGCCGCGAACAGGCUUUGAUCCGUAAAUUUCCGAAUGGGGGAACCCACUCCGCAAGGAGUAUCGUGCACUGAAUACAUAGGUGUACGAGGCAAACCCGGGGAACUGAAACAUCUAAGUACCCGGAGGAAAGGACAUCAACAGAGACUCCGCUAGUAGUGGCGAGCGAACGCGGACCAGGCCAGUGGCUUGAGAGAGACAACCGGAACCUGUCUGGAAAGCAGGGCAUUAUGGGUGAUAGCCCCGUACGGGUAAUGCGAUCUCAAGUCCUUGAGUAAGGCGGGACACGUGAAAUCCUGUCUGAACAUGGGGGGACCACCCUCCAAGCCUAAGUACUCCUCAGCGACCGAUAGCGAACAAGUACCGUGAGGGAAAGGUGAAAAGCACCCCGACAAGGGGAGUGAAACAGUUCCUGAAACCGGAUGCCUACAAACAGUCGGAGCCUUGAGUUCUUCCUUCGGGAAGGGCUGGGUGACGGCGUACCUUUUGUAUAAUGGGUCAGCGACUUAAUCUGACGAGCAAGCUUAAGCCGGUAGGUGUAGGCGCAGCGAAAGCGAGUCUGAACAGGGCGUUCAGUUCGUCGCAUUAGACCCGAAACCGAGUGAUCUAGCCAUGAGCAGGUUGAAGGUAAGGUAACACUUACUGGAGGACCGAACCCAUAACUGUUGCAAUAGUUCGGGAUGACUUGUGGCUAGGGGUGAAAGGCCAAUCAAACUCGGAAAUAGCUGGUUCUCCGCGAAAGCUAUUUAGGUAGCGCCUCGUGAACUCAUCUUCGGGGGUAGAGCACUGUUUCGGCUAGGGGGCCAUCCCGGCUUACCA